rnacentral:rRNA from 1 species
GGAGUUUGGACCGUGUCUCAGUUCCAAUGUGGGGGACCUUCCUCUCAGAACCCCUACUGAUCGUCGACUUGGUGAGCCGUUACCUCACCAACUAUCUAAUCAGAAGCGUGCUCACCCAUAGUCCUUACGUUUCAUCACAAAGUCAUGCGGCUUCGUGACACAUGGAGCUUUAAUCCAACUUUCGCUGGGCUAUCCCCCGACUAUGGACAGAUUGCACACCUGUUACGCACCCGUGCGCCGGUCGCCGGCAAUUAAAGCAAGCUUCAAUCCCGCUGCCCCUCGACUUGCAUGUGUUAAGCCUGUAGCUAGCGUUCAUC